GUCCCAGAAAAAAAAUAAAAUAGCCUUGCCAGAAAUCAUAAUUAGGCCAAAAAAAAAGGUAGUGUGGUUCCAGUUACAUCUGAAAAAAAGUUAGGGUAGGUAGGUAGGGAUUUUUUUUUUUUUUUUCUUUUUUUACAUUGAGUCUACAUGGUCUAUGGGCGCAACAUUCUGACUUUAACAGUGCUUAAUGAAAAAUGGCAAUAAAAUAUUUAGGGUAGGCUACUUUUAAGGGAGUUCGCUUCUCAGUUUCAAAGUAAUUAACUUUUCAAAAGAUUAGUUUAUAUUGUUGAUAGGGGAUUAAUAAAGGAAUCC
rnacentral:lncRNA from 1 species